CGACCGCCGUGGGGAACGGACGUGGCGCUCCGAUGUAGGGGCUGAUCCUCACGUGGUUACGACGAUUCUCAGGCAGAUGAACAGCACAGCAGAACUGGAAGCGUUUGUCCCAGGGCAGACACACAAGAUGGAAUUCUGAUUCUAAGCAUAUUUAAGAAGAAAACUAUGAAAAUAGAAAACUCCUAGAUUUAAAUAAUAAAACACUGCACCAUAUAUGUUUCUGUUCAGGGAUACAACGACGUGCUACGGGGAUUUAUUACAGUUUUCUAUUACGUUGGCACUUCACCUAAGUACUUAUGGUAUACGACGGCCACAGCACUUAAAAAUGAGAAUGAUUUUCUGCAAUGCAUUGCGAUAUGCAUAAAGAAAAAACUAAUUACUGCAGUUUUUAUUACUUAUAUGAUUAUGUUAGACACAGUUGGAGUCUUUCGGAAAACAGCGUUUAUAUAGGGUUAAUUUAAGUAAAUUACUACUGUUAUUAUAAUUUUCUAUAUGUUGUA